rnacentral:rRNA from 1 species
GUUACUUGAUGUAUAAGUAAUCUCGCCUGCUCAGUGUUAAAUAGCUGCAGUAUACUGACUGUACAAAGGUAGCAUAAUCAAUUGCCUUUUAAUUGGAGGCUGGAAUGAACGGUGGAACAGGGGGAGAGUUUAUAUGACUUGAAUUUAAAUUAAUUGUAAAAGCGCAAUUAUAACCCUCUGGGACGAGAAGACCCUAGAAGCUAAAAGAGUCUGUUGGUUGGGGCGACUAAUGAAUUUGUUUAACUUUUAAUAAGUUACUCUAGGGAUAACAGCGUAAUUAAAACUAAGAGUUCUAAUUUGAGUUUUAGAUUGCGACCUCGAUGUUGAAUUAAAAGGUGAAGGAGCUUUAGUCUGUUCGACUAUUAAAUAUUUACA